CAGGAAGGAGGCUGGAGCAGGAAGAUACUAGAAGCCAGAUAUAGGCUAAAUGACAUUUUAGAGACUGCUAGACAGAAGAUGAGAUCUUCAAGUGUUAGGCCUUCAAGUUCUAAAGAGAAGGAUCACCGGAGAUGAGCAGCAAUUUCAUCCUCGCAUAUUAAAAACUUUGAUCUCUGCAUUCCCUAACUGAAGAGACGAUGGGCAAUCAGAAACCAACAGCAGAACUACUUCAAUAGAGUCUGUUCUAGAGCAACCCCUGAUUAAUAAAGAUGAAAGUGGAAGGCCUUAAUACUUCUAAAAGGAAGACUCUGCCUGACAAAAAAAGCCGAGCCAAAGCCUAUCUAGAAGAAAGGAAUUGUAUGCUCUGUUGACGUUGCCAAUGACCUCCUUUAAACUGUCACGGAUGGGAUGAAUAGCCAUUGUGGGCCUCAGGAAGGAGAAAGAAUAUUGAAGUCUCUUGGAAGCUGUGUAAUAUUUCUACAUCUUAGCGCUUAAUUCCUUCUGGAAAUGCAGUAAGACUAGAAGGAAUGCAAACAAAUUUUAAGAAACUGCG